AAACAGAACUCAGUAUAUACUUCUUUCUAGUCUCUCCCCUCUCCAUUCUAACCUCCACACAAAUGGCCUUCUAACCUCCACACAAAUGGCCAAAAAACCACAAACAACAAAAACUUCCUAAAUCACAGGAUUCAUUCCAUGCCGUUCCCUUUUUUCGGAAACAAUAACUUCAAUACAAUCCAGCUUGUCAGAGAGCCAAGAUUUGAGAAAGCACAACAAUGUUAAACAGCUUAAUUAACAAAUGCCACUGGAUAGAUAGCAGCUGUAGUCACAGCAUGGACUCCUGUCUUGUCAUCUGAGCUAAAAGGAACUGACAGUUGAGGUAUAACCAUGUUCAGUCUCUGAAUGUGCUACUGCCAUGAAAUAUGCAAGAACAAUAAUGGAGCACCAUGAAAAUAUGGAAAAAGGAACUCCUAACAAAGUCUGAAUGCUUACUUAUCUUGCUAUUUGAGAUAGAAGUUCAUCUAUCCUACCAAUAAAGCAUGCUCAAAGAUUU